ACGUACGUCUGAGAUUACAAUUCAAAUGCUUCUCUCCCUGUCUACUUUGAUGUCACACCCAGGGCCCAGGUCACUUAGGACCUGGUUGUUAUGGUUACCCUUUGUUACACUGCGCAUAGAGCCGGAAACAUGACACUCCGCUACGCGGGAAUACUGAACACACGUGCGAGAUCAAAACAGUUUUCUCUCGAGGACCGUGCGCAACACAGUGCGAUAGCCGAGGUAAUGCGGGAUUGUGGAUGACGGGCAGGCGAGCCGGGCCACCAAAAGCACAUCGGAGGGCCAUCAGAUCAAUCCUCGUAAUCGAGAAGAUGAAAGCUACAAAUAACGGCCAUUUGCCGCAGAAAAUAAUCAUUGCCGGGAGAUUAUAUUUUCAGCACUCUUAUUGAACAGGUAAAAACCUACAAGGCAGACUUUCAAUCAACUCUGGGCAAAGUCUCACUUACAAAUCCCAGUCGGUUUAUCUGCAGGUCUCACAGAUUAGAAUAUAAUUGGUUUGUGUCUAAUAAAAUAAAACCCGGCGAAAUGCUCUCCUAAUUCAAUGAGGAAUGUAAUCAGAGAGUUCGGGGGAGCCACACCUGCGGUCAUAGUUUGCUGAUUUCAUUUGCCCAAAGUCCUACCGUCUCGCAGCGGUAUAUGACUCACGCAAAGAAGCGCACAUGAAAGGGUAAAGACGUCGCCAUGGAGCUUUGUCUGUUCAUACACGGGCUGACGCGGACGUGGAGCGGAAAACCCGAGGACGUGGGAGAAAUAAGACAACCUGGCGCUGGUGUCAACUCUAAAAAUAAAUAAACAAAAAUCACUUUUUCUGUCGUGUGUUUCUUCGAACCGAUUCCUGGGGAAAUCACUGAAGACCUGCUCCGGAAGCCUUGAGCCUUAUUUUAUUUUGCACAGAAACACACA